AUUGAACGCUGGCGGCAGGCCUAACACAUGCAAGUCGAGCGGAUGAAGGGAGCUUGCUCCUGGAUUCAGCGGCGGACGGGUGAGUAAUGCCUAGGAAUCUGCCUGGUAGUGGGGGAUAACGUCCGGAAACGGGCGCUAAUACCGCAUCCGUCCUGAGGGAGAAAGUGGGGGAUCUUCGGACCUCACGCUAUCAGAUGAUCCUAGGUCGGAUUAGCUAGUUGGUGGGGUAAAGGCCUACCAAGGCGACGAUCCGUAACUGGUCUGAGAGGAUGAUCAGUCACACUGGAACGGAGACACGGUCCAGACUCCUACGGGAGGCAGCAGUGGGGAAUAUUGGACAAUGGGCGAAAGCCUGAUCCAGCCAUGCCGCGUGUGUGAAGAAGGUCUUCGGAUUGUAAAGCACUUUAAGUUGGGAGGAAGGGCAGUAAGUUAAUACCUUGCUGUUUUGACGUUACCAACAGAAUAAGCACCGGCUAACUUCGUG
rnacentral:rRNA from 1 species